GCCGUGUCGGACUGAUUGGGAAACUCUUCAAAUUAUUCUGAUAUACCGAGAAAAGCUUCUGUUCUUAAUGGCGGGCCACAUUCCUUCGGGAUAGCAUUCAGCCGGUGGAUUACAAAGGGGGCGAGCACUCAAAUCUUGUUCUAUCAGAGUUUCAUCACACUCACGGCACGGCUUCUU
rnacentral:sRNA from 1 species